rnacentral:rRNA from 1 species
AACGAACGCUGGCGGCAUGCCUAACACAUGCCAGUCGAACGAGACCUUCGGGUCUAGUGGCGCACGGGUGCGUAGCGCGUGGGAACCUGCCCUUAGGUUCGGAAUAACUCCCCGAAAGGGGUGCUAAUACCGGAUAAUGUCUUCGGACCAAAGAUUUAUCGCCUUUGGAUGGGCCCGCGUUGGAUUAGCUAGUUGGUAGGGUAAAAGCCUACCAAGGCGACGAUCCAUAGCUGGUCUGAGAGGAUGAUCAGCCACACUGGGACUGAGACACGGCCCAGACUCCUACGGGAGGCAGCAGUGGGGAAUAUUGGACAAUGGGCGAAAGCCUGAUCCAGCAAUGCCGCGUGAGUGAUGAAGGCCUUAGGGUUGUAAAGCUCUUUUACCCGGGAUGAUAAUGACAGUACCGGGAGAAUAAGCUCCGGCUAACUCCGUG